rnacentral:lncRNA from 1 species
CAGUCCUACGGACACGCUACAGACAGUCCUACGGACACGCUACAGACAGUCCUACAGACAGUCCUACGGACACGCUACAGACAGUCCUACGGACACGCUACAGACAGUCCUACGGACACGCUACAGACAGUCCUACGGACACGCUACAGACAGUCCGAAAGACACGCUACAGACAGUCCGAAAGACACGCUACAGACACGCUACAGACAGUCCUACAGACACGCUACAGACAGUCCUACAGACACGCUACAGACAGUCCUACGGACACGCUACAGACAGUCCUACAGACACGCUACAGACAGUCCUACGGACACGCUACAGACAGUCCUACGGACACGCUACAGACAGUCCGAAAGACACGCUACAGACAGUCCGAAAGACACGCUACAGACAGUCCGACAGACGCUACAGACAGUCCGAAAGACACGCUACAGACAGUCCGAAAGACGCUACAGACACGCUACAGACAAUCCUACAGACAGUCCUACGGACACACUACAGACAGUCCUACGGACACGCUACAGACAGUCCUACGGACACGCUACAGACAGUCCUACGGACACGCUACAGACAGUCCUACGGACAAGCUACAGACAGUCCUACGGACACGCUACAGACAGUUCUACGGACACGCUACAGACAGUCCGAAAGACACGCUACAGACAGUCCGAAAGACGCUACAGACAGUCCUACGGACACGCUACAGACAGUCCUACGGACACGCUACAGACAGUCCUACAGACACGCUACAGACAGUCCUACAGACACGCUACAGACAGUCCUACAGACACGCUACAGACAGUCCUACAGACAGUCCUACAGACACGCUACAGACAGUCCUACAGGCAGUCCUACAGAGACGCUACAGACAGUCCUACAGACACGCUACAGACAGUCCGAAAGACAGUCCGAAAGACACGCUACAGACAGUCCGAAAGACACGCUACGGACACGCUACAGACAGUCCUACGGACACACUAGAGACAGUCCGAAAGACACGCUACAGACAGUCCUACGGACAAGCUACAGACAGUCCUACGGACACGCUACAGACAUUCCGACAGACAGUCCGAAAGACACGCUACAGACAGUCCGAAAGACACGCUACAGACAGUCCUACGGACACGCUACGGACAGCCCGAAAGACAGUCCGAAAGACACGCUACAGACAGUCCUACAGACAGUCCUACGGACAAGCUACAGACAGUCCUACAGACACGCUACAGACAGUCCGACAGACAGUCCGAAAGACACGCUACAGACAGUCCGAAAGACACGCUACGGACACGCUACAGACAGUCCUACGGACACGCUACAGACAGUCCUACAGACACGCUACAGACAGUUCUACGGACACGCUACAGACAGUCCUACAGACAAGCUACAGACAUCCUACAGACAGUCCUACGGACACGCUACAGACAGUCCUACAGACACGCUACAGACAGUCAUACAGACACGCUACAGACACGCUACAGACAGUCCUACAGGCAGUCCUACGGACACGCUACAGACAGUCCUACAGACACGCUACAGACAGUCCUACAGACACGCUACAGACAGUCCUACAGACAGUCCUACGGACAAGCUACAGACAGUCAUACAGACACGCUACAGACAGUCCGACAGACAGUCCGAAAGACACGCUACAGACAGUCCGAAAGACACGCUACAGACAGUCCUACGGACACGCUACAGACAGUCCUACGGACACGCUACAGACAGUCCAAAAGACACGCUACAGACAGUUCUACAGACGUCCUACAGACAGUCCUACAGACACGCUACAGACAGUCCUACAGACAGUCCUACGGACACGCUACAUACAGUCCUACAGACACGCUACAAACAGUGCUACAGACAGUCCUACGGACAAGCUACAGACAGUCCUACAGACAGUCCUACGGACAAGCUACAGACAGUCCUACAGACACGCUACAGACAGUCUGACAGACAGUCCGAAAGACACGCUACAGACAGUCCGAAAGACACGCUACAGACAGUCCGACAGACACGCUACAGACAGUCCUACAGACACGCUACAGACAGUCCUACAGACACGCUACAGACAGUCCGACAGACAUGCUACCGUCCGACAGACAGACACACUACAGACAGUCUGAAAGACACGCUACAGACGGUCCCACAGACGUGCUACAGACAGUCCUGCAGACACACGCUACAGACAGUCCUAGCUACAGACAGUCCUACAGACACACGCUGCAGACAGUCCGAAAGACAGACACGCUACAGACGGUCCUACAGACACGCUGCAGACAGACACACGCUACAGAUGGUCCGAAAGACAGACACACGCUACAGACAGUCCGAAAGACAGACACACGCUACAGACGGUCCGAAAGACAGACACACGCUACAGACGGUCCGAAAGACAGACACACGCUACAGACGGUCCGAAAGACAGACACACGCUACAGACGGUCCGAAAGACAGACACACGCUACAGACACGCUACAGACAUACAGUAGCACCCCAGUAACUGCAUCUCAGUAAGCAUCAGUAGUAUGAUUGACUGGUAUGAUUGACUAGUAUGAUUCGCUACAGACAGUCCUUCAGACAUUCAUACAGACACGCUACAGACAGUCCUUCAGACACGCUACAGACAGUCCUACAGACAUUCAUACAGACAGUCCUUCAGACACGCUACAGACAGUCCUUCAGACACGCUACAGACAGUCCUACAGACAGUCCUACAGACAUUCAUACAGACACGCUACAGAUAUGCAUACAGACACACUACAGACAUUCAUACAGACACGCUACAGAUAUGCAUACAGACACGCUACAGAUAUGCAUACAGAAACACUACAGACAUUCAUACAGACACACUACAGACAUUCAUACAGACAUGCAUACAGACACGCUACAGACAUUCAUACAGACACGUUACAGACAUACAGUAGCACCCCAGAAACUGCAUCUCAGUAAGCAUCAGUAGUAUGAUUGACUAGUAUGAUUGAUUGACUAGUAUGAUUGAUGAGUUGAUUGAUUGACAGGUGUGUUUCUGAUGAUACCACUGAGUGCUGUACAGCUGAAGCCUGUCUGUACACUAACGUGACACCACAAGACUAUGAAAGCCCACUGAGCUAAUCUCCUAGGCAUUAGCCCAGGGAGCUAACACAAAUAUUGAGCUUAAUGCAGUCAAAACGUUGCAUGCAAUCAAGUAACCAGGAGCAGUCAUUUAACAGUGUAUUCCUGUUUAACCUCCAG